AGAUUAAGCCAUGCAUGUCUAAGUACAAGCCCUAGCACGGUGAAACCGCGAAUGGCUCAUUAAAUCAGUUAUGGUUCCUUAGAUCGUACCUCAACUACUUGGAUAACUGUAGUAAUUCUAGAGCUAAUACAUGCUUCAAAGCUCCGACCUCUCUGUAGGGAGGAGCGCUUUUAUUAGACCAAAACCAGUCGGGUGGCUUCGGCCCCUGUCUACCCUUUGGUGACUCUGGAUAACUUUGUGCUGAUCGCACGGCCUCCGUGCCGGCGACGAAUCUUUCAAAUGUCUGCCCUAUCAAGUUUCGACGGUUGGUGACUUGCCAACCGUGCUGAUAACGGGUAGCGGGGAAUCAGGGUUCGAUUCCGGAGAGGGAGCAUGAGAAACGGCUACCACUUCCAAGGAAGGCAGCAGGCGCGCAAAUUACCCACUCCUAGCUCGGGGAGGUAGUGACGAAAAAUAACAAUACGGGACUCUUACGAGGCCCCGUAAUUGGAAUGAGUACACUUUAAAUCCUUUAACGAGGAUCUAUUGGAGGGCAAGUCUGGUGCCAGCAGCCGCGGUAAUUCCAGCUCCAAUAGCGUAUAUUAAAGUUGUUGCAGUUAAAAAGCUCGUAGUUGGAUCUCGGGUGCAGGCUGGCGGUCCGCCUUGCGGCGGUUUACUGCCACGUUUCCUGCUCCUCACCUCCCGGUUUGAAAGUUCUCUGAACUUGUCCCCGCAGUGCUCUUUACUGAGUCGCUCGGGGUGGCCGGAACGUUUACUUUGAAAAAAUUAGAGUGUUCAAAGCAGGCGCGUCGCCUGAAUACUGUUGCAUGGAAUAAUGGAAUAGGACCUCGGUUCUAUUUUGUUGGUUUUCGGAAGUCGAGGUAAUGAUUAAUAGGGACGGCCGGGGGCAUUUGUAUUGCGGCGUUAGAGGUGAAAUUCUUGGAUCGUCGCAAGACAAACUACAGCGAAGGCGUUUGCCAAGAAUGUCUUCAUUAAUCAAGAGCGACAGUCAGAGGUUCGAAGACGAUCAGAUACCGUCGUAGUUCUGACCAUAAACGAUGCCAGCUGGGAAUCCGCGGGAGUUGCAAUCGACUGACUCUGCGGGCGCCCUUCGGGAAACCAAAGCUUUUGGGUUCCGGGGGAAGUAUGGUUGCAAAGCUGAAACUUAAAGGAAUUGACGGAAGGGCACCACCAGGAGUGGAGCCUGCGGCUUAAUUUGACUCAACACGGGGAAACUCACCCGGCCCGGACACCGUAAGGAUUGACAGAUUGAGAGCUCUUUCUUGAUUCGGUGGGUGGUGGUGCAUGGCCGUUCUUAGUUGGUGGAGCGAUUUGUCUGGUUAA
rnacentral:rRNA from 1 species